GACGAACGCUGGCGGCGUGCUUAACACAUGCAAGUCGAGCGGUAAGGCCCUUUCGGGGGUACGACGAGCGGCGAACGGGUGAGCAACACGUGGGUGACCUGCCCUUAGCUCUGGGAUAAGCCUGGGAAACUGGGUCUAAUACCGGAUAUGACUCCAUGACGCAUGUUGUGGGGUGGAAAGCCUUGUGCGGCUAGGGAGUGGGCCCGCGGCCUAUCAGCUUGUUGGGUGGGGUGAUGGCCACCAAGGCGACGACGGGUA
rnacentral:rRNA from 1 species